rnacentral:rRNA from 1 species
UACAGAGGUCUCAAGCGUUGUUCGGAUUCAUUGGGCGUAAAGGGUGCGUAGGUGGCGAGGUUAGUCAGGUGUGAAAUCUCGGGGCUCAACCCCGAAACUGCACUUGAUACUGCCUUGCUAGAGUACUGGAGAGGAGAUUGGAAUUUACGGUGUAGCAGUGAAAUGCGUAGAUAUCGUAAGGAAGACCAGUGGCGAAGGCGAAUCUCUGGACAGUUACUGACGCUGAGGCACGAAGGCCAGGGGAGCAAACGGG